AGAACUUAGCAGAGAUGCUUUGGCGCCUUCGGGAACUCUGAGACAGGUGCUGCAUGGCUGUCGUCAGCUCGUGUUGUGAAAUGUUGGGUUAAGUCCCGCAACGAGCGCAACCCUUAUCCUUUGUUGCCAGCGGUCCGGCCGGGAACUCAAAGGAGACUGCCAGUGAUAAACUGGAGGAAGGUGGGGAUGACGUCAAGUCAUCAUGGCCCUUACGAGUAGGGCUACACACGUGCUACAAUGGCGCAUACAAAGAGAAGCGACCUCGCGAGAGCAAGCGGACCUCAUAAAGUGCGUCGUAGUCCGGAUUGGAGUCUGCAACUCGACUCCAUGAAGUCGGAAUCGCUAGUAAUCGUGGAUCAGAAUGCCACGGUGAAUACGUUCCCGGGCCUUGUACACACCGCCCGUCACACCAUGGGAGUGGGUUGCAAAAGAAGUAGGUAGCUUAACCUUCGGGAGGGCGCUUACCACUUUGUGAUUCAUGACUGGGGUGAAGUCGUAACAAGGUAGGCGUAGUGCU
rnacentral:rRNA from 1 species